AUAUUAUAUUUGAAAAAUAAAUAUUAUGGGCAAUAAAAUACACGUUAUUUGAAAAACAUUUUCUUAUCAUGUUCGCUGUACCCUUUACAGUAUUUUUAUAUUUUCAAAUAAUAUGUUUCGACGUGAAAGGCAUAGUUGCACAACAAAUACGUGACAACAUAAGCGAUUACGACUGGAGUGUGUGGUGCAAAUUUCAGCCUAAUGGUUUCGAUUGUACCGACGGGGAGCCUUUGCAACCGAAAUUUUAUUACGACGUAAAA